CGCAGGAGAGACGAAUGAGAGGAUAAAAACCCUGACAGUAUAUUUGGCGUAAGAGGGCAAAAAAAGAUUUCAAGUUCCCUGAGGGUCGUUAUCUUCAACUCACGGUGCAUCUGCCUCUGUUCUGGAUAAGACGCGAUGGUUCUCUCGACCAUCGUAUACCCUACCUAAGACGCCGCAUUGGGAUGUACAACUUGGAAAUGUUAUAUAUUGCAACAGGGAAAACGACGAACCGCUGCGAGAAGCACUACUCGUACAAUGACAUCUUGCGGAGUGGAGCCGAACCUCUAUCUAUAUAUACAUAAAUACAGGGAUAUUCAAGAAACUAUUACUCGUUGUUUAUACUUGCUUGUUAAUUAAAAUCAUUAACAUUGUUCUAUUGUAAUAAACUACAUGACUUUGAUAAUUUAAUUAAGUUCUUA